GCUCACCCUGCGCCGAGUGCAAAUCCAGCGUCUCCUACAGGAUGCCGCUGGCUCCUGCCAAGGCGGAUGAAGUGUUCCGCGCGGUGACGGACUCGAGCGCGGAGUCGUGCGGCGGCUCGGGCUCACGCGACAAGUCGCGGCGCCGGCCGCGGCGACACCACGCGCCCAACGCGAACAGGUACCAGCAGCAGCAGCGGCAGGAGCAGGAGCGGAGAGACUUCACGAUACACGUGUGACUUGACAAUAAGACUGCCGCAGGCGACAGUACCACUGAACAAAUUGUUGACUAGAGAUAGCUACGGUCUAGAAUUACUUUGUUUUUUAAUCGGUCAGUUUAUAAUCUCACGACGGCGACUCGGUUGACGUGUCCAUUUCAUAAAACAGAUUAAAUAAUUAUGCAUUUAAAAUAAAAAAAUAACUAGAAAUUAAUAUCUAGUCACCUGCACAGUAAAAUAAACAUCAUGAAAACGAAUCGCGAACAAUUAUAACGCUAUCGCCUAAUGUUUUUAUAAUUCCGGAGUGUGAAUUUUG
rnacentral:lncRNA from 1 species